AAUCUCUGUUUCCAUAACAACUUUUAUGCUAAACGUUUCUCUAUUGAGCGAUAAAAGUAUGGUACAGAAGUUAAAUGUAUUAUUGGAUGAUAUCAGUAUAUGAUGAUAUUGGUGGUGAUAGCUUUUAUUAUUAUUAUUAUUAUUAUUAUUAUAUCAACAAUACCAACAACAACAAUAAUAAAUACUCAUUGAUAAAUUUAGAACAUACAUUUGAUUGACUGAUUUUGUAUUACGUCAUACAUAUUUAAAUAUAUAACCGCUGCAAAAACCGUUGGGAGUGGUAUACGGUGCUCUCUUCUCGUUCAGGUGUUUCUGUUCACACGUUUCUGGAUCGUUUAUUUGGAUCGUUAUCGUUAAUUAAUGUUACCCGCAUCCGUCACGUCAGACCCGGCAGGAAAGGAUUUCCAGUGGAAUUAUAUGCAAGCCACCCUGAUACUCCAGAAGCAUAGAUGGAGAAGUGAGACUGUAAGAGCACUCAAACACAGCCACAUUAGGUGUAAAGGUACCAGACAGAGCAACUCUCAAUGGAAAGCCAGCACCGGUGGGCAGAUAGAACUCAUUAUCCAUGAAGAUGUAGUGAAGGAAAAGCUCGUUGUCGACACUUGA
rnacentral:lncRNA from 1 species